UUCCUUAAAUCACCAAUUCCCUGUCUAGAUGUUCAGAGCAUGUUUCUAAUGGUUCAUUCUAGAAUUUCCCCAAAAACCAAAGCUGAAUUAAUUCAUCUCUACUUUGCUGACUGUUCUCUUUCCUUUGUUAGACAUUAGGAUGAUAUUUGCCCUUCUCCUGUCUUGUGGGACCUCUACUCUUCUCCGUGACCUUUCAGAUUACUGACGGUGCUUCAGCAAUCCCACUUUCCCAGCUCCCAGGUUCUUUCAGGACCAUACAGGGCAGUCAAUGAGGGCAGGGAGGUGCUCAUGACCUUCUCCUUCCUUGUCUUAGAUGCUGACCCUGGUGGUUGAUUUUGUUUGUCAUUUUGAGUUAAAGGGAAUUCUUUUUUGCAGAAAAAUAGAAGUGAGCAGCACUGCUUUGUCUCUAUGGUUAGACCAUCUUCCCAUCCACCCUGAACAAAGGGCUUUUCUUUUCUUUGAUUCUCCUUUUUUGCCCAUUAUAGAUUAGAGAAACCCAAAACAGGUUAGUUUUUUUGUUUAUUUGUUUUGGUUUGUUUUUCCCUCACUGGCUUCAGAUUGAGCUGGAGGCUAGAACCAAGACCCUGCUCUUCUCCUGGGUCUGAUUCACAUUGCUGCUGCAGCUGCUUCUGAAUUUGCUCCUGUAUUCAUCAGCCUGCCCCUUGCCUUGUCAUCCUGGAUCUGUGACCUAUAAUUAUGUGGCUGGUUCUCCCCUCCUUUGGCAAGCUGCUAGCCCUCCUGCCCUAGGAGUCUACCAUAACGAUGCAGGUCUUUGUGUUUGGAUUGGCCCACCGCAGCUCAGAGCACUUGUGCUCAAGAGAUCUCCCAGCUCUGCUGGUGGAUGGCAUUGCAGGGAAUUUGGCAUCUUUCUUCCUUCGCACAAUUAACCUUGUCCAUGAACUACUCCCUCAGACUGAAUGGGAAAUCUUUCUCCACUACGUGCGUUCUGAGGAAAUCUAACUCGAAAUGCUACCGUUGAUUGAUCUGGGAAAGUUCACUCUCAGGACUUCUGCUUUUGAGCCACGUGUAAGCACGUGCUUAUUUCUGCCUUGAGUUUCUUUAGUUUUGGGGUGGUCCCCCCCUGCACUGUUACAAAGAGAUAUUUACUGAGAAGGCAUAGCGUGAACAGAAGUACAUUUUUCCCCCGAUACCCAGGGUCACAUUCUCCUUUAUUCCACCUAGUUCUCUAGAGUCAAGGUGGGCUCAAACUUAACAGACCUUCUAUGAACGUUUGUCUGAUAAGUUCACUUCCGUGUUCUACAGUGUGGGCUGUGCUGGGAAUUUGUCUGUUGGGAAAUUCUUUUGCUCUCUCCACCUGUCAAGGCUCCCAAGCCCAUAGCUAUCUCCACUAUUCUGAAACCUAAAAGUCAGGUAAUAAAAGAGGCCUGCAUUCAUGGUCAUGUGUGGGUCAAGGGGUUAAAUUGGGGCCCGAGGCUUCUUUUCCCACUCAGCAGUUUACAAUUUGCUUUUCCUCAGUCACAGUUAGGGAGGGAAGAAGAAAUAAGCAGGUGGGGAAGGGUCUUUUGUAAGCAUUCUCAGUUCCUGCACGAUAGCCUAUCGAAAGGCUCCUUUUCUUCACAAAUCAAAUAGACCCAAGACAAUACUUGUGCGGGCUCACAAGUGGACAUAGUGAUUGCAUCAGGAGAACAUGCUGAGCAAGCCAUGUGCUUCUGCUGCCAGGGUAAGACAAUUCCAAAGGGCUUGUAACGACAAAUGU